rnacentral:lncRNA from 1 species
AAUGUCCCAAGCCCUACACACCCUCCAGUUGUAAUCAAUGCUGCAGAUGAUGAUGAAGAUGAUGAUGGGGAGGAACCUGUGGUUCGACUAGAUCUUGCUGAUAGACAAGGAAAACGGAAAGCCUCCGCAGAUGAUGUAAGCACCGUUCCAGUGAAGCGCAGCCUUGCUGAAAGGCUGGGGAAGAAGGUAGAGGCUCCGGGAAAUGCUGACAAAGCACCCAAGAGAGAUCCAGGUACUGAACGGGCAUCUGGAUUGGAUUCCUGGGUUUUGUAUUUAGUCUUUCUGUUUGUCCUUUUCCAGUGAUGUUUCUUUUUGCAUGUUGGCUGAGGUCGUAAUCACUGGGAUUCAAAGUUACCUUUCCUGUCUUGUUUUGAACUGUGAACCUGAAGUUGACAUUCUGCAGCCUCCCUAAUUCGUUCUGUUUCUGUUUUGCAGUUCAAGUUGCCAAGUCUCUGAAGGACAGGCUGGGAUUACCUCCUAAACAGACCAGCACUGAGAGAGGUAACAGCUAGAUAUUAAAUAUGCUUUCUCCUCCUUCCUUUCCAUGAACUUGGACUGCUUUCAUCCAUCCCUAAAAACUAAUGUAAACGAAAACAAAGAACUGAUGCCUCUUGCUCGAGUGCUGAAGCUCUUCUGACAGCCACUAUCAGAAAUCUGGCUCUAGGUGUGUGUUUCUUUUCUACUUGUGCCUUGUCAAGGUUUUUAGCUGCUUCUGUGAACCGUUACGUACCAUUAGAAUAGAACCACUGCCAGGAGCAG